UACAGAGGUCUCAAGCGUUGUUCGGAUUCAUUGGGCGUAAAGGGCGCGUAGGCUGCGGGGCAAGUCGGGUGUGAAAUCUCAGAGCUCAACUCUGAAACUGCACUCGAUACUGCUUUGCUUGAGGACUGGAGAGGAGAUUGGAAUUCACGGUGUAGCAGUGAAAUGCGUAGAUAUCGUGAGGAAGACCAGUGGCGAAGGCGACUACCUGGCCUGUUCUUGACGCUGAGGCGCGAAAGCUAGGGGAGCAAACGGG
rnacentral:rRNA from 1 species